rnacentral:lncRNA from 1 species
GGACAAUUUUGAGUUUUCGAUACCAGUUAUCGAAAUCAAGUCCUAUCAACUUCUCAUUGUUCAACAGUAAUCGGAUCAACAAGUUUGAAGUUAUAUUUGUACAAAAGGACAAAUCAAAAUUUAAUCAGUAUAUGAAUUAAUUAAGCCUAAAGAUAUGAACUUUGAUCUAAAGAUUCUCCCACUAUCUGAUACGAAUUGGUAGUCUCUACCUCCAACUCCAGAAAUUACUUUAAUUCUUUAGCGGGUACUAGAAUCCACACAGAUUGCACACAAGUCCGACUUUAGCCGGCUCACCCAUGUGCAUCCAUGGAUAGGUUCAUUAACCAAUUAUUUUAUCAAAUAAUUUUUAGUAAUUGAUUUAGCCUCAGAUAAUUUUUCAGUUGACUUUGAUCUUCUCUACAAGUCCUGAUUAGGUCCAAUCAUUAACAUGAUCAUACUUAUAAAUCCAACUAUCACAUGAUCAGGCAUGACUUUGGCCGGCUAACCUGACCACUUGACAGAGAGACUCGAUUAAGUCAUCAUAUUAUGAAUGAUAAUUUCAAUAACAGAUGAGCACCAGGCCUUUAGCCUCCAAUGAUCAUCAUACUAAUUGACCUAUUAUCACUUAACUUAAUGGAAGACUAUGAUUUAGUUAUCACCAUAACUAUCUCAUUUUAGGGAUCUAAUAAUUUAGAAGAUUUAAUUUAUGAAUUAAGAAGAGAGAAGAGAUUAAUCAGUAAACCAUAAUGCUUUCACUGACUUCACCAAGUCAUUGAAUCAGAUUAGGGUCAUGUUGAUCGAACUGACACCUAAAUUAGUCAUACUGAUCAACCUUAAUGGCAUGAGUUUACUUGAAUCAUUUAGUGAUCUAAUCAAAACAUAAUUCAUCAAAUUAAUCGCAUAAGUGAGUCGGUGGGAGGGUUUGCUAAGCUUGCCUUAGACACCAUCGAAAUGGUCAGAUAAGCUGCUCCCAAUUAAAAACGAUCGAUCGAAAUGUCAAACUUAUCUUAGACAUCGAUUGGUUAAUUAGUUUCAAUUCGACCAACCUAAUGAUUCCGAUUCAACCACUGAGCCACAAUUAAAGUCUAUU